AAUUGUCAAUGGUCAUUAUAAAGGAUUCCACCGAUAGCAAACAGAAGCUUGCAGCGGAAAAUGCCAUCAUCAACGUUAAGCACUCUCUCGAAGAUAAGAAGUAUAAAGUAGUUCAAACAACUAUUGCUCGGUAAAAACAUCCGUCUUUUAAGCGUCAGAUUUUGUUAAAAAAGGGAAUUUAGAUGAUGAAAAAUAAAAGGCAAUAGUCUAUAUACAUCUAACAAUUGACGGAAAAGAAAGAAAAUGAAUAAUGAAAUGGUAGUGCAAAAAAUAAUUUCUUAAAAGAACAUUCAGUUAUUUCAUGAACAAUUAAUCAUCGACCAUUGAGAAAUGACGAAAAGAAAUCCGUUCAAACAGCUACAUAAAGCGGUAUUAUCGUCGAAUUGUUGCUUGUGGAAAAUGAAACCAACAAAAAAGAAUGGGAGAAAUUGGAUUGAGCUUAAAUUACUUUGAAUUUCCUGUCUUAUUCUUCCGAGGUGGAGUCAUGUGCCAAUUUUGACUUGAACCUUGGUAUCCGUAGCGUUGUUUUUUUUCAGCCGGUUUCAAAAUCUGGAAACUGCACAACAAGCUCUCGUCAACACUCAUCAUCGCACCUGCAUUAUCAAACUCGCCACAGUAAUUAGGUGCACUGAACAAUGUGACUAGCUGACGUUUAGAGAAGAACUCAUAACCGUCUUCCACAACCUGAUGGGCUCGGCAAACAAGAUCCAUAUCGUGUUUGUGCAAAAACCGAGAGACAACAUCAGGUCCAAACGUGAAAGAAACACCUCUAUCAUUAUCACCCCAGCCUGUAAGAUCCUUGUCAGGAUCAGACCAAAGUAAAUCACAGAGUAACCCAGUAUCAGGGACAUCGGUCGGUCGCAUG